AACGAACGCUGGCGGCAUGCCUAACACAUGCAAGUCGAACGAGACCUUCGGGUCUAGUGGCGCACGGGUGCGUAACGCGUGGGAACCUGCCCUUAGGUUCGGAAUAACUCCCCGAAAGGGGUGCUAAUACCGGAUAAAGUCUUCGGACCAAAGAUUUAUCGCCUUUGGAUGGGCCCGCGUUGGAUUAGCUAGUUGGUAGGGUAAAAGCCUACCAAGGCGACGAUCCAUAGCUGGUCUGAGAGGAGGAUCAGCCACACUGGGACUGAGACACGGCCCAGACUCCUACGGGAGGCAGCAGUGGGGAAUAUUGGACAAUGGGCGAAAGCCUGAUCCAGCAAUGCCGCGUGAGUGAUGAAGGCCUUAGGGUUGUAAAGCUCUUUUACCCGGGAUGAUAAUGACAGUACCGGGAGAAUAAGCUCCGGCUAACUCCGUG
rnacentral:rRNA from 1 species